rnacentral:rRNA from 1 species
UACGUAGGGUGCAAGCGUUGUCCGGAAUUAUUGGGCGUAAAGAGCUCGUAGGCGGCUUGUCACGUCGGCUGUGAAAACCCGGGGCUCAACCCCGGGCCUGCAGUCGAUACGGGCAAGCUAGAGUUCGGCAGGGGAGACUGGAAUUCCUGGUGUAGCGGUGAAAUGCGCAGAUAUCAGGAGGAACACCGGUGGCGAAGGCGGUUCUCUGGGCAUUACCUGACGCUGAGGAGCGAAAGUGUGGGGAGCGAACAGG